UUUGGAAAAUCUCCUGGUGUUAAGAGAGAAAGUAUUAGAUAUGAAAAUCUGUGAGAAUAAAUCACUUCUAAGCUUUGAUUUUUGUGACUACAGAGAAAGACUUUGACUCUGAUGUAACUGAGUGUCUAAAAGUAUUAAAAAAUCAAUAUCUCUUAUCUGCAAGAAUCCUUCUAAUGGCUUAAUGCUCUGUCUUCCAGGAGAUGAGUGUUAAUUGUGUCAAUUGCUCUUUGUGGCAGGAAAAGGACUUGUCUGUCAAAUGCUUUUCAAUCGCCAAGAAGUUUGAGGUACCUGGAGAAUGCUUCCUCCUGUCAACCCUCAUCCUGCUCUCAUUGCCUUUGUUAUCUGCACCAGUACAUCUCUACACACCCCCAUGUACAUUUUUCUGAUGAACUUAUGUAUCCUGAAAAUUGGUUACACUAGUUCUGUCAUACCCAAUAUAUGGAGAGCCUUGAAAGUGAGAUCUGAGGAAUCUCUCAGGAGGGAUGUGCCACACAGACGUUUUUCUUCACACUUUUUGUAUAAUUGAGUGCUGCCUAUUGCCAGCCAUGGCCUUUGUCCACUGUAUGGCCCUGCUUCAUUCUGCAGCCCAAAUGAGUAGUGAGGUAUGUUCCCACAAGGCAAUUGUUUCAUGGGGAAUAGGUUGCCUUGUAGGGUUGGGAAAAAACUACUUGAGAUCCAAAUCUAACCACCCACAAGGAGUUGAAAAAUUAUUGGUCAUCUUCCAUACCACAGUGAUAUCCAUGCUGAACCCAUCAACUUUGCUUAAAGUACGAAGAAGUCAAGACAGGACUGAAAAGAACUCUGGGUCUGAAGAAAGUUCUGAUAAUAAAUAGAUGACAGAUAUCCUCCUAAUGCUUAACUGCGAUAAGCGAAGCAAGAAACACUUUGUGGUAUCUGUGGCAAGUACAUAUAAUCUCAACCUAAAAGAGGAAAACCACUGGGCAAAUCCAAAUUCAGAGACAUUCUUGCAAGUUGUACAUAUGCUUGUUCACAUGUGCAACACAUGCAUGCCUACUGUCCAGGAGGUUGAAGAAGGUGUGAGGUUCCGUGAUGCUGAAAUUACAGCCACUUGUGAGCUGUCAACGGGUUCUCUGGAAGAACAGGUAAUGCUAUUAAUCACCGAAUCAUUCAUUCAUCUGCAGCAAACACCAUUUUUUGUAAAUAUAGUGACUAAAUUGUCCUGUCUUCUGCAUAGACUACUGUUUUCUCAAAUGUGAUAAUUUAAUAUUAAACA